rnacentral:rRNA from 1 species
UACGAAGGACCCGAGCGUUAUCCGGAUUUAUUGGGUUUAAAGGGUGCGUAGGCGGAUUUAUAAGUCAGUGGUGAAAGCCUAUAGCUUAACUAUAGAAUUGCCAUUGAUACUGUAGAUCUUGAGUACAGUUGAAGUGGGCGGAAUGUGCAGUGUAGCGGUGAAAUGCUUAGAUAUUGCACAGAACACCAAUUGCGAAGGCAGCUCGCUAAGCUGUAACUGACGCUGAGGCACGAAAGUGUGGGUAGCAAACAGG